rnacentral:rRNA from 1 species
CAGCCGUAAACUAUGCGCGUUAGGUGUAUCGGUGACCACGAGUUACCGAGGUGCCGAAGGGAAACCGUGAAACGUGCCGCCUGGGAAGUACGGUCGCAAGGCUGAAACUUAAAGGAAUUGGCGGGGGAGCACCACAACAGGUGGAGCCUUGCGGUUUAAUUGGACUCAACGCCGGGAAGCUCACCGGAUAGGACAGCAGAAUGAUUGCCGGGCUGAAGACCCUGCAUGACUAGCUGAGAGGAGGUGCAUGGCGUCAGUGACU